rnacentral:rRNA from 1 species
CAGCCAUGCCACGUGAAUGAAGAAGGCCCUAGGGUUGUAAAGUUCUUUCGGCGGGGAAGAUGAUGACGGUACCCGCAGAAGAAGCCCCGGCUAACUCCGUGCCAGCAGCCGCGGUAAUACGGAGGGGGCUAGCGUUGCUCGGAAUUACUGGGCGUAAAGGGCGUGUAGGCGGAUAGUCUAGUCAGGCGUGAAAGCCCCGGGCUCAACCUGGGAACUGCGCUUGAUACUGGCAAUCUAGAGUCCGGAAGAGGGUGGUGGAAUUCCCAGUGUAGAGGUGAAAUUCGUAGAUAUUGGGAAGAACACCAGUGGCGAAGGCGGCCACCUGGUCCGGUACUGACGCUGAGGCGCGAAAGCGUGGGGAGCAAACAGGAUUAGAUACCCUGGUAGUCCACGCCGUAAACGAUGUGUGCUAGAUGUCGGGCAGCUUGCUGUUCGGUGUCGCAGCUAACGCAUUAAGCACACCGCCUGGGGAGUACGGUCGCAAGAUUAAAACUCAAAUGAAUUGACGGGG